GGUUUUGGAGACAGAGAAGAUGCUGAGGACUUGAAUCCCAGGUGUGGACAGACAAGAAGAGGAGUUGGCUGUUCAAUCCAUACGUCUCCUGGAUGCAUUAGAUGGAGGCUCUGUGGUGUAGACGAUGGAGAAGUUGCUGCUGACGGAUCCCAAAGAUCUGGAGGCCCUAGAGCAGGGAUUCUUACUCAAAGCUCGAAAGAUCUGCAAGGAAAACAAGACUGAGGGGUCUUGUCCUCUGCUGUCCAGGCUGAGGGGGCACUGUGAUCUGCUGCCAGCUUUGCCAUUGGGAGCAGCCUGCCUGCAGGCUGUAGGUAUGUAGGACUGGGGUGAAUUCUUUACUGCUGAGCCAUUGGGGAAGCUCCUGCACGGUCUCAGGAACCUCCAGGAAAAGUCACCAAGCAAGCCAUCGACCAUCAACUGAUAUCGGGAAACUCCCUCCAGGGGCGAGAAGUUAAGGGUAUGCCGCCCGCAAGCAAGUAGAGCCCAGACCCGUUGGAACCAGAUGGUUGAUGAUGACCACGCCCACUGACCUCACCACCAACCAAUCAGAAGAACGUCCAUGAGCUGAUCGCACCCUCCUCUUUGACCCAUUACUAUAAAACUUCUCACUACUCUCUCCAGGUCAGGACACACAGUUUGGGGGAUUUUGUUUGUUUGUUUGUUUGUUUGUUUGUUUUUUAAUGUUUAUUUUAUUUGGCUGCAGCAGGUCUUAUUUGCAACAUGCAAGAUCUUUAAUUGUGGCAUGAAAAUGAAAGUGAAAGUGAAGUCGCUCAGUCGUGUCCGACUCUUUGCGACCCCAUUGACUGUAGCCUGCCAGGAUCCUCAGUCCAUGGGAUUUUCCAGGUGCAAGACAUGCCCCAAUGCCACCAUGGAUAGUGUUAAACUUAUUAUGAUCUGUUGUUCCUGAGACUAGGUGAGAGAUGAGUGGGUCUUCAUUACGUUGCUUGGAUUUGUCUCAGCAGUUGUGGGCUCAGUAGCUAGGGUGCUUAGUUACCCGUGGUAUGUGGGCUCUUACUUUCUCGACCAGGAAAAUCAUCUCCUGUGCACUAGAAGGUUGGUCUCUUAACCACUGAGUCACCAGAAAAGUCCCAGCGUUUGAGAUUCUAAACUGUCCUAGGGGACCUUCCUUCUUUGACGAUUGCUCUUAGUUUCAGAUGCUCUGGGAUCUUGAAUUUGUUGACAUUCCCUAAUAAGAGAUGCAACUAACAUGGCAGAUCUCACAGCCUGGCUGGCGUGCUGAAUUUUAGUUCAGCCUGGUUGCCAAGGGGGCCUCUCCAUCAUAAAUCUGGAAACCCUCUAUCAUUAAGGAUUAUUUCUCAGAUUUCCUGAAAGUAAAAGAAAAAUGGGAAAGAAACUGCAUGAGAUGAGGUCUGCAAUGUUCCAGUCAUCUUCCGAAGAUAUGUCUCGGCUAGAUUCUUCCUGAUGUCCACCGACAACUAUUUGGGUGAACAAAAGAACGUCUUUUG
ensembl:lncRNA